UACGGAGGGUGCGAGCGUUGUCCGGAAUCAUUGGGCGUAAAGGGCGCGUAGGUGGCCCGGUCAGUCUUUGGUGAAAGCGCGGGGCUCAACCCUGCGUCGGCCAGGGAUACUGCCGCGGCUCGAGCACUGUAGAGGCAGGCGGAAUUCCGGGUGUAGCGGUGGAAUGCGUAGAGAUCCGGAAGAACACCAGUGGCGAAGGCGGACUCACUGGUCCGGUACUGACGCUGAGGUGCGAAAGCGUGGGGAGCAAACAGGGAU
rnacentral:rRNA from 1 species